rnacentral:misc_RNA from 1 species
UUCCAGAGGAAUCGAGCACUGUUACUGUACGAUCAUCACUCAACAGAUGAAAACCCCUAUACUACACUAAAAUCCCAGAAAUACAAAAUCAUCUAAUUUCAAAACAACAAAUUCUACGAACCAAAUAACUGAAUAAUAACUCCACCCAAAAAAAUAAAAAAUUGCAAAAUUCCCAAUCCCUUCAAAAUCUCAAAUUGCAAACAAUAUAUCAAAUUUCAAAUCCACCAUAUUAAAUCUCAAACUAAGAGAGAGAGAGAGAGAGA